AGUAUUUUUUUAGCAAUUUGUAUUUGUAUGUUGAGUAUGAGGAUGUUUAUAGAAUAGAUUUGGAAAGGGAUGUGACCAGAAGUGAUAUGGCCAGAAAUGAUAUAGCUAGAAGUGAUAUGGUUAGCAGUGAUGUGGCCAGAAGUGAUGUGACCAGAAGUGAUGUGGCCAGAAGUGAUGUGGCCAGAAGUGAUAUGGUUAGCAGUGAUGUGACCAGAAGCGAUGUGACCAGAAGUGAUGUGGCCAGAAGUGAUGUGGUUAGUAGUGAUGUGACUAGAAGUGAUAUACUAUCAAAUAACAUAGUAACAAAUAACAUACCACCAAAUGACGUACUACCAAACGAUAUAGUAUCAGAAGUUGUAGUAACGGGUGAGGGGAAAUCACAUUGUCUACCAAUAGUUGAUGAAGAACUAAAUAAAGAUGCUGUUAUUAAAAAUAACCUUGUAAUGAGUAAAAACUCGUUUUGUGACUAUUGUUAUGAAAACCUAGUAACGUACAAUUUUGUUGUUGAAAAUAUAUUGUCUGAUGAUAAUUCCUUACAACAUCUAAAAAAAGUAAAUAAAGUGGAUAAGAAAGAUACAAAAGAUUCUUUAUUUGCAAAGCGUAAGAAAGCUAAGGUAAUAAAAACAGAUGAUAUAGAAGAUUCUAAUUUUAUAGUAAAUGAAACAUAUUUAAGAACUAAACAUAAUAUGAAGAAAAAUGAAAAUACAAAUAACGAACUUAUAAAAAAACAAAAAUUAAACAAAUCAGAAUUUCAUAAAAUUANNNNNNNNNNUUCAUUACCUGAUGAGUUAAAGUAUUUUUUUAGCAAUUUGUAUUUGUAUGUUGAGUAUGAGGAUGUUUAUAGAAUAGAUUUGGAAAGGGAUGUGACCAGAAGUGAUAUGGCCAGAAAUGAUAUAGCUAGAAGUGAUAUGGUUAGCAGUGAUGUGGCCAGAAGUGAUGUGACCAGAAGUGAUGUGGCCAGAAGUGAUGUGGCCAGAAGUGAUAUGGUUAGCAGUGAUGUGACCAGAAGCGAUGUGACCAGAAGUGAUGUGGCCAGAAGUGAUGUGGUUAGUAGUGAUGUGACUAGAAGUGAUAUACUAUCAAAUAACAUAGUAACAAAUAACAUACCACCAAAUGACGUACUACCAAACGAUAUAGUAUCAGAAGUUGUAGUAACGGGUGAGGGGAAAUCACAUUGUCUACCAAUAGUUGAUGAAGAACUAAAUAAAGAUGCUGUUAUUAAAAAUAACCUUGUAAUGAGUAAAAACUCGUUUUGUGACUAUUGUUAUGAAAACCUAGUAACGUACAAUUUUGUUGUUGAAAAUAUAUUGUCUGAUGAUAAUUCCUUACAACAUCUAAAAAAAGUAAAUAAAGUGGAUAAGAAAGAUACAAAAGAUUCUUUAUUUGCAAAGCGUAAGAAAGCUAAGGUAAUAAAAACAGAUGAUAUAGAAGAUUCUAAUUUUAUAGUAAAUGAAACAUAUUUAAGAACUAAACAUAAUAUGAAGAAAAAUGAAAAUACAAAUAACGAACUUAUAAAAAAACAAAAAUUAAACAA
rnacentral:lncRNA from 1 species